UACGUAGGGUGCGAGCGUUAAUCGGAAUUACUGGGCGUAAAGCGUGCGCAGGCGGUUUUUGCAAGCCGGAUGUGAAACUCCCCGGGCGUUAACCUGGGGAAUGGCAUUUGGGACUGCAAGGCUGGAGUGCGGCAGAGGGAGACUGGAAUUCCUGGUGUAGCAGUGAAAUGCGUAGAUAUCAGGAGGAACACCAGUGGCGAAGGCGGCUUUCUGGACGGUAACUGACGCUGAGACGCGAAAGCGUGGGGAGCAAACAGG
rnacentral:rRNA from 1 species